AGAAUCAACGCUGGCGGCGUGCCUAACACAUGCAAGUCGAACGAGAAAGGGGCUUCGGCCCUGAGUAAAGUGGCGCACGGGUGAGUAACACGUGACUAACCUACCCUGGAGUGGGGAAUAACUUCGAGAAAUCGAGGCUAAUACCGCAUAAUACCUAAGGGUCAAAGGAGUAAUUCGCUUUGGGAGGGGGUCGCGGCAGAUUAGCUAGUUGGCGGGGUAAUGGCCCACCAAGGCAGUGAUCUGUAUCCGGCCUGAGAGGGCGCACGGACACACUGGAACUGAAACACGGUCCAGACUCCUACGGGAGGCAGCAGUGGGGAAUUUGCGCAAUGGGGGAAACCCUGACGCAGCAACGCCGCGUGGAGGAUGAAGUCUCUUAGGACGUAAACUCCUUUCGACCGGACGAUAAUGACGGUACCGGAAGAAGAAGCCCGGCUAACUUCGUGCCAGCAGCCGC
rnacentral:rRNA from 1 species